CUGUGGAAGUGAAGAAUAUAGUCCAAAGGGCUGGUGUUAGAGCAGAGUUUAGAAGGGUGGUUAACAUUUUCCCCUUACAUAUAACUCAGAAAGACCUUCCAGGAGGAGGGAAUACUAAAAGUAAAAGCAUUUAUCUUUGGCAGCCCAUUACUAGAGCAUGAAGGAUUGGAUAUUCAGUGGUCUGUGGAAGGCAGGACAGUUAUGCACGAUCAAUUAGGUUAUAAAAGAUUUUGUAUGGCACGUAAAAGAGCCACUUGGACUUCCUCUAUUAGGCAAUGAGGAGGAAUCUUUGACAUAUUUUAAGACCAACCAUGUGUUUAAAUGUUUUUCUCUGAUUACAGUAGGAAGGGUAGAUUUGAAAUGGAUCAAUCAAGGAAUUGUCUGAAGUACACAAUUAUUGAUUUCGUGUGUCAACUUGGCUAGGUCACAAUAUCCAGAUAUUUAGUCAAACAUUGUUCUGAAUGUUGUUGAAGAUUUUUUUUAGAUGAGUUUGCUAUUUAAAUUGGUAGGCUUUACAUAAAGCAGAUUACUCUUCAUAGUGGUGGUGGGCCUCAUCCAGUCAUUUAAAGGCCUUGAGGGAAAAAUAGACCAAUUUCCCCAAAGUAGAGGGAAUUCUGUCAGAGACAGCCUUCGGACUUGGGCUGCAACACCAAGUCCUCCUGAAGUGUCUAGCCUGGUGGCUACCUGGAAGAUUUUGUACCUGCCCUGCCUCCACAAUUAGGAGACUCUGAGGAUGAUCCAGUAUACUCCCAGGUGUCUAUAAACUAAAAUUCUAUGCAUAUCCCAGCUACUUUUGGAAUACUGCAUUACAGACAAAUUGAAGAUUUUUGGCAACCCUGAGGCAAGGAAGUCUAUUUGUGCCAUUUUUUUCCAACAGUAUUUGUUCAUCUGUAUUUCUUUGUCACAUUUAGUUAUUCUCACAAUAUUUCAAACUUUUUCAUUAAUAUUAUAUCUGCCAUGGUAAUCUGUGAUUAGUAGAUCUUUGGUGUUACUAAUAACUGUUUUGGUGCACCACUGAAAUUAGGCUGAUUAAAAACCCUGCAAUGACUUGUGAUGAGCAUCAGCUAUUGUAUGGAAUUGUUGAAUUCUUAUAUUUAUUGUACACCUGAAACUAAUUUUACAUUCUAU